UGGGGAAUAUUGGACAAUGGGCGCAAGCCUGAUCCAGCCAUGCCGCGUGUGUGAAGAAGGCCUUUUGGUUGUAAAGCACUUUAAGCGAGGAGGAGGCUACUUGGAUUAAUACUCUAGGAUAGUGGACGUUACUCGCAGAAUAAGCACCGGCUAACUCUGUGCCAGCAGCCGCGGUAAUACAGAGGGUGCGAGCGUUAAUCGGAUUUACUGGGCGUAAAGCGUGAGUAGGCGGCUUCUUAAGUCGGAUGUGAAAUCCCUGAGCUUAACUUAGGAAUUGCAUUCGAUACUGGGAAGCUAGAGUAUGGGAGAGGAUGGUAGAAUUCCAGGUGUAGCGGUGAAAUGCGUAGAGAUCUGGAGGAAUACCGAUGGCGAAGGCAGCCAUCGGGCCUAAUACUGACGCUGAGGUACGAAAGCAUGGGGAGCAAACAGG
rnacentral:rRNA from 1 species